rnacentral:rRNA from 1 species
GACGAACGCUGGCGGCGUGCCUAAUACAUGCAAGUAGAACGCUAAAGGAGGAGCUUGCUUCUCUGGAGGAGUUGCGAACGGGUGAGUAACGCGUAGGUAACCUGCCUGGUAGCGGGGGAUAACUAUUGGAAACGAUAGCUAAUACCGCAUAAUAGUAGAUGUUGCAUUACAUUUGCUUAAAAGUUGCAAUUUCAUCGCUACCAUGUGGACCUGCGUUGUAUUAGCUAGGUGGGGGGGGAACGGCACACCAACGCGACGGUACAUAGCCGACCUGAGAGGGUGAUCGGCCCAACUGGGAAUGAGACAAGGCCCAGACUCCUACGGGAGGCAGCAGUAGGGAAUUUUCGGCAAUGGACGGAAGUCUGAACGAGCAACGCCGCGUGAGUGAAGAAGGUCUUCGGAUCGUAAAGCUCUGUUGUAAGAGAAGAACGAGUGUGAGAGUGGAAAGUCCACACUGUGACGGUAUCUUAAGAGAAAGGGCCGGCUAACUACGU